GGAAUAGUUUAAUAAAUCACAUUAUUCCAAUCUCUAGAAAAUUUCUAAAACAUUUAUUGCGCGAAUUGACCGUCACAAACUUGGCCCUAUGACAACAAACGUUAUAGAAAAUAUUGCAUGAAAAAGGCUUCAAAGAGCUAAAAUGUCGCAACGAAAUAAACAUCAAUAUUGUUCUCAUGAGCAAAAUACACAAAAGUCAAAAGUAUCGCUCUCAAAUUCAGCUUCAUUUUCAAUUUUUACAACUGCCUCCAACAAUGGAAUACCGUAUUUACUCGAUUGAACGCCGCCCGCAAAUGAGCG